UACGUAGGGUGCGAGCGUUAAUCGGAAUUACUGGGCGUAAGAGUGACGUAGGCGGUUCUGAAGUCCGCUGUGAAAGCCCCGGGCUCAACCUGGGAAUGGCCGUUGAAACUGGCGAACUGGAGUGUGGCAGAGGGGGGUGGAAUUCCGCGUGUAGCAGUGAAAUGCGUAGAGAUGCGGAGGAACACCGAUGGCGAAGGCAGCCCCCUGGGCUAACACUGACGCCUCAGGCACGAAAGCGUGGGGAGCAAACAGG
rnacentral:rRNA from 1 species